rnacentral:lncRNA from 1 species
UUCCCAUUUUGAAGUGUAGAUAUUAAGGUUACACACAGCUAGUUUCAUUUCUGCGCAUUUAUUCCUUUGUUAAAAAAAAAAAAUUACUCCGUACUUUAUGAAAUUCAUUCUGUUGCUUUUUUACCACUUCUUCAAAUUUUUAUCUUAGCCACAUAUAAAUAGCCUUACCACACAAUGUACAGUAUAUCAGAAAGAACGAUUUAGUCACACUGCCAUUACCCAGUUUAUAUGCCUUUGUUGUAUUAAUCUGUAGUUGUAUACAACUUUGCAAGGCUUUCCUUCAUUGCCUUAAAUAAUUGAGAG